rnacentral:lncRNA from 1 species
GGACUUGUCAAAACAUCUACACACCUCAAUAUUAUUGACAUUUGUUCUUCGUGACUUGUAUCUGGAGUGCAAUCAAAUAUAACAGAAAAGUAUUUAGAAAUUUUGAGUUUCUCAACGAUUUUUUUAUCUCUCCCGCUAGCAUAAAUAUCAACUCAUUCUGAAUUUUGUGUCCUAGAUAAUGAUAAUGAAUCUCUUUAUUUUUUAGUCGACGAACAUGCUCUUACAUUAUGGGGUUGAACUCAACAAUCAUUUGACUUAUGCUUAAGAAGAUACCAUUAUUUUUUUUUAUAUAUCUUCUCAUUAUUCCCCCGAAAUGCUAAAUUAUUCUCAGCGAGAGUUUUCAUCACAGAUAUUAUUCUCAGCAAUACUUGUCUCCAAUGUUCUCUAUCUCUAUUGAUUUGUUUUUUCACACUUUUGUCAAUUGUUUUACUUUUUUCAAAUCUUAAUUUCAUUUCUAUCCAUUUACUCAUGUUAUUGAUGUGGUCACAACUUACUUUAUGUAUUUUAAGUUUUUCACUAAUAUUUUUCCGAUCAUUUACUCCAUCAUGUGCCAAUUGAGUUCUGAUUCCAUCAUUCUUGAAUAGCUUACAACAAAAGCAAAAUACUUUAUCCAAACUUUUUGAAUAUAUCAACCAUUUUCUAUUAUGCUUCUCUCCAUUAUGUAAUCGUCGAACGUAAUGUAUGGACGAGAAAUGUUAGUUUGCUCCAUCUUUCGAAAAAAUUAUAUCAUUUUCUCUUACAGGACCUUUCAUUACAAUUAAAUCUCUUAAAUUCUUAUUCAUAUUUCCCAAAUUUGCUGGAUCAACAAGGUCAAAAGAAAAUGUUUCAUUAUCUUUGUCAGUAGAUACUUCUUCAUUCAUCACACAAUGUCCUUCUUCAAUUGUGUUAUUAUUGUUGUCCUGAUCAUUUAACACUUCUUCAGUAACUACAUCAUCAUUGUGUGUUUGUUUACUACUACUAAAAAACUUAUCAAGUGCUCCCUCUUGAGAUUUAAUCAAUUUUUCAAUCUUUUCCUUCCUUUUUCUUUUGGCACAUCCCGAUUCAAACUUUUUCGUAGACAUAAUAACAAGUAAAGAGCGAUAAAACCUGAUUGAUGAGUCCCAAAAUGAAAGGAUUCAGAAAUUGAUGGUUGCGGUGGUGAUUGAAGUAGACAAUGCAGCUGUAAGAUCAUAUGGAACAUAAUUAGAGCACUUUUAUUCAAAAAAUAUUGAACAUAAUUAGAGCACUUUUAUCCAAAUUAAAUUCAAAGAAAAAAAGACAUAAGAUGAUAAGAAAAUGAAUUAAAUAACUAAUAAGAUGUAUUUUCACUUAAUCACUUUCAUAACCAUUACUCCUUUUCAAUCACUUGUAUUUGCAAUAGAAAAUUAAAGCAAAAUACCACAUCAUUUUCAAGAGCAAUUCUAUCAUUCAUUAUUGAAAAAUGACCAUUAACACUAAAAUUUUCAACCACACAUACAUAUGAUGAAGAUUAUCCAAUCCACACACAGAGAUAGAAUCACAGACACGUAUCUAUAGAAAGUACCUGUUGGAUGUUGCAAAGAGUCAAAAUCAUAAAUUGCUCACAAGCUUUUCAAAUCCUUGUCCCAAUCACUUGUAAAUG